rnacentral:rRNA from 1 species
UUAUACAGCGAAACUGCGAAUGGCUCAUUAAAUCAGUUAUCGUUUAUUUGAUAGUGCCCAUCUACAUGGAUAACCGUGGUAAUUCUAGAGCUAAUACAUGCGUAAAAGCGCGACUUCGGGAGCGCUGUAUUUAUUAGAUUAAAGACCAAUGCCCUCCGGGGCUCACUGGUGAUUCAUGAUAACUCCUCUGAUCGCACGGCCUUGCGCCGGCGACGGCUCAUUCAAAUUUCUGCCCUAUCAACUUUCGACUUUAGUGUAGUGGACUAAAGUGGUUGCAACGGGUAACGGAGGGUUAGGGCUCGACCCCGGAGAAGGAGCCUGAGAAACGGCUACUACAUCCAAGGAAGGCAGCAGGCGCGCAAAUUACCCAAUCCCGACACGGGGAGGUAGUGACAAUAAAUACUGAUACAGGGCUCUUUCGGGUCUUGUAAUCGGAAUGAGUACAAUCUAAAUCCUUUAACGAGGAGCAAUUGGAGGGCAAGUCUGGUGCCAGCAGCCGCGGUAAUUCCAGCUCCAAUAGCGUAUAUUAAAGUUGUUGUGGUUAAAAAGCUCGUAGUUGAACCUGGGCCCCGUCCCGGCCGGUCCGCCUCACCGCGUGCACUGGUUCGGGAGGGGCUUCGCACCUUGGGGGUACGCAUGCCCUUCGCUGGGCGUGCGGGGAACCAGGACUUUUACUGUGAAAAAAUUAGAGUGUUCAAAGCAGGCCUAUGCUCGAAUACAUUAGCAUGGAAUAAUAAAAUAGGACGUGCGGUUCUAUUUUGUUGGUUAUGGGACCGCCGUAAUGAUUAAUAGGGACAGUCGGGGGCGUCAGUAUUCGGUGGUCAGAGGUGAAAUUCUUGGACCCACCGAAGACUAACUACUGCGAAAGCAUUCGCCAAGGAUGUUUUCAUUAAUCAGGAACGAAAGUUAGGGGAUCGAAAACGAUCAGAUACCGUUGUAGUCUUAACCAUAAACUAUGCCGACUAGGGAUCGGGCGAUGUUGCUUACUGACUCGCUCGGCACCUUUCGAGAAAUCAAAGUCUGU